rnacentral:lncRNA from 1 species
GCAAGGUCUUCCAUAAAUCGCAGAAGCUGAUAUCAAGAGAUGUUUAAAGAUCAAAGCUGUUUCUCCAGAGAGUGAAUACAGCCCAUAGAGAAACUGUGGAGUCCCAGAAGAGAAGAAAUAAAAUUGCCAACAGAAGAGAAGAAAAUAUUGGUAAACUUAGUGAUUACCGAGUUACACAGGACUCAAUAACUCAAAAGGCUCCCCACUCUGAUCCCCCAAACUGCAUGAGAAAAAGUUGUUUUUACAUGGAGAAAGGAGAGCUGGAUGUUGUGCUUUAAUUUAGACUUUCAUCUUUUGGUUCAGGUGGAUUUUGUAAUCUUACGUGACAACUAAAUCAAGGUUUCAAGAGAAAUGGAAGAACUAUUUCCCAAGUUAAUAAGGUUAAUUGGCACUAAAAGAAAUGAUCAUCAAGCUUGGAAUGUCAUAACAGGGAUGUCCUCAGACUGUGAAGAACCUGUCCAAGGGAAGGAGCUAGGUAAGUGACAAAGGAGAAAUACAUUUCCUAUCCUCAGCCAUUUGUGCCUUUCCUAAGCAAAAAAGAGAGACAAGAAAGUAGUUCUCAUAAUUCAGAAGCUUUGUGCAGUAUGAACCACUAGAGCAUUAAAAACCACAGUGAAGAUCCAUAGGGCAACUGGAGAUAAUUGAAGGAACUAAUUUACUCAGGCCAACCAAGGUAUCACUUAGUAACCAACAGUUUCCUCCUUCAUUUGUGAAAUGCACUGUUUUAAUAUACCAUGCUUUAGUUUUAAAAAUCUGGUGUUUGAUCAUUUCUGCUGCUAGGCUGAAGCUGAUGGGAAAAUUAUGUUUUUAUUUGUGAGCUAAAAUGAAUUAGUUUGAUCGUAAAGCGUCACGUGCUCUGGAGAUGUGGGAGAGCACAUGGACAUGGUUCAUUUAAUGCUGUUGCCUGAGCUCUAGUGCCAGUAAGACGGUAGUCUUUACCCUAGGGCUGAGUAGCCGUGGGAUCAGGAGCAAUGGGAUUUUCAGAUAUGGCUAAUCCUGUUUACUCUUGUUGUUACAAUACAAGAACACAGCAGUAAGAUUU